UACGUAGGGUGCAAGCGUUAAUCGGAAUUACUGGGCGUAAAGCGUGCGCAGGCGGUUAUGUAAGACAGAUGUGAAAUCCCCGGGCUCAACCUGGGAACUGCAUUUGUGACUGCAUAGCUAGAGUACGGUAGAGGGGGAUGGAAUUCCUGGUGUAGCGGUGAAAUGCGUAGAUAUGCGGAGGAACACCGAUGGCGAAGGCAAUCCCCUGGACCUGUACUGACGCUCAUGCACGAAAGCGUGGGGAGCAAACAGG
rnacentral:rRNA from 1 species